rnacentral:tRNA from 1 species
AGGGUGUUAUCUUAAUGGAAGAGAACCUUCUUUACCAAUAGGAGGUUGGUGGUUCGAUUCCACCAUCCCUUG